UGGGGAAUCUUGGACAAUGGGGGCAACCCUGAUCCAGCCAUGCCGCGUGAGCGAUGAAGGCCUUAGGGUCGUAAAGCUCUUUCGCCUGUGAAGAUAAUGACGGUAGCAGGUAAAGAAACCCCGGCUAACUCCGUGCCAGCAGCCGCGGUAAUACGGAGGGGGUUAGCGUUGUUCGGAAUUACUGGGCGUAAAGCGCACGUAGGCGGACCAGAAAGUUGGGGGUGAAAUCCCGGGGGCUCAACCCCGGAACUGCCUCCAAAACUAUUGGUCUAGAGUUCGAGAGAGGUGAGUGGAAUUCCAAGUGUAGAGGUGAAAUUCGUAGAUAUUUGGAGGAACACCAGUGGCGAAGGCGGCUCACUGGCUCGAUACUGACGCUGAGGUGCGAAAGUGUGGGGAGCAAACAGGAUUAGAUACCCUGGUAGUCCACACCGUAAAACGAUGAAUGCCAGUCGUCGGGUAGCAUGCUAUUCGGUGACACACCUAACGGAUUAAGCAUUCCGCCUGGGGAGUACGGUCGCAAGAUUAAAACUCAAAUGAAUUG
rnacentral:rRNA from 1 species